GAAUGGGUGCGACGGUGCGUCGUGUGUAGAACUAGAUGCUGCAGUUUGCAGCUGGUUUGAUUCAUGUCGUGGGUCACUUACCAAUGUAUGUAGGCCUAAUUGGCUAUGACCUUUGAAAUAGUUGAAAGUAAAUCCCAGUAGUAUCUAGUGAAACACACAUGCAAACGCCCUUCUGUCCCUCAUUCCCUCAAACUCGAUCUUCUACAUUUGUUGUGUAAAAAGGACAUAGCAAGUUUUUUGUAUCAAUGAUCACUUUAGGAUAUUCCAGUGCAUUUACAUUCAAUAUAUACUGUACCUUGAGUGAGGUAGAAAUGCAUAUUGUUGCAAAUAUAAAUACUGUUAAUUUGUUAUUUUUUGUAAUUAAUCAUUUACUGAAUUUCUUUGUAGAAUAUGUUACUAUUAUUUGGGUUUUUGUUCUCUGCAUAACUGUCUCUUUCACCUAUAUUAAUUCCUCAGCAUUCAAGAUGUUUGUAGGGUCCUCACCUCAGCUACCUCUCACAAGGUGCCCCUGAAAAAGAAAUUCAAGACGUUUGGGUCCUCAGCUCAACUGACCAAGACCUUUGCUCAUUGAAGGCAUGAAGUAAUUUGUGAUGCCCCCACGAUUGCAGUUUUUAAAUCCAGAUGGCUUGCUCUUUUUAACAUGUGCGAGAGCUGGAUGGUCUUUCAACAACACUGCUCCGGGUCUUCAGCAAGAAAGGUGCUUCUCAUGCAAGGAAGAUACAGAGGAUCCUGGUGCCCAUGACUCAGACUGACAACAUUGAUGUGAAGAGGGAGUGCAUGCUGAGGAGCUGACGGUCUACCUGAAUGAAGAGCCAGACAAAGUGGUAUGUUACAACUCGGCAGCUAGAUCUGUCUUUUUCGUUAUUAGGUGGCAUAGGGAGAUCGCACACAUCAGUGGCCUGCGAGGCUCAUUUUGUUGGGCUCUGGUGGGCUCCUCCUGUGCUACCUGACAUGUCUCCUGGCAUCUCAUCCACGUUCUGGACACUGCUGGAGGACACACCAAACCUUCUUGCAUUGAUGUGCCAUCUUGGCCUCAGUUAUGUGUUCUUUGCAAACACGAAUCUGCCCAAUUCCAGCUUUGCUAAAGCACCCUCACAUCAUCACAAACCCUUUGCCAAAUUUCACGUUCAAUCCAACACCAGUCAUCUCUGAUUUGUAGAUCUCUGCAGGUCUCUAUCUACCCAUGAGGGUGUUGCACUUGCUGUGGCACAUUGCGAAGGCCGCAUUACUGAAGCAGCAGAAGUUAUCUUAGAA